ACGUAGGGGGCAAGCGUUGUCCGGAAUCAUUGGGCGUAAAGCGCGUGUAGGCGGUUACGUAAGUCUGCUGUGAAAGUCGGAGGCUCAACCUUCGAAAGCCGGUGGAUACUGCGUGACUUGAGUACGGAAGAGGAGAGUGGAAUUCCUGGUGUAGCGGUGAAAUGCGCAGAUAUCAGGAGGAACACCAACGGCGAAGGCAGCUCUCUGGGACGUUACUGACGCUGAGACGCGAAAGCGUGGGGAGCAAACAGGA
rnacentral:rRNA from 1 species